rnacentral:rRNA from 1 species
CCCUAUGGGGUGCGGGUUGUGCUUGAUACCGGAGUUUUUCUUUUUGGUGGAUGUUUUUUCUGACCGCAUGAACACCAUUUUUAAAUUCUAUUUUCAGACAUGGAUCCUGUGGUCGCUGGCAGGUUCUUUUAUUCUGGUGGUCUUGUGGGAUGCUUUGAAAAAGAUACAAGGCGUGAUCUUUCGAAUUGCUUCUAUUUUUAUUCUGGUGAUCUGCUGCACUUCUUCAUUUUUCAUCUAUCGCGACCGCAUCCAAUUCACAACUGUAGAAACCUGGACGUUGGAUGGAACAGCGUAUCUGGAGCGCACGAAUUCCGGAGAUGCUGCUGUCGUUGAAAAAUUGCAAAUACUCCCGUAUGGAGUGAUAGCAGAAGCGGUAGGGGGCAGCUACACCGGUUAUGCGCGCAUUGCGACCAACAGUGGAUAUCCGACAGUGUUAGGCUGGCCAGGGCACGAAAAGAAUUGGCGGGAGAGC